CCAUAACUUCCUGAGGAAAAACCUAAAUGAUGAGAAAGAUUGGCUGGCUUAUCGUCAAUAUUCCAGCAGUGAUGAAGAUGACACUCCAGGCUUGAAAACCUUAGAGAUGUUGUGAGGACAAAGUGUCUCCCAUGAACCUAAGGGUCUACCAGGUACAGGACAAUCUUGAUUUGUGAGGUUGGUGGUCACUCUCUUCCACAGGACCUGAUUCAACUCCAGGCCUCUGGUGGUUGGUACAUGUGGAAGGGUGGAUCGGAUAAUUGGUCACUUGAUUAAUUGGAGAGUUUCACAGUACACUCAAUUUUUCCUCUAAUGAUCUCAUGCUGGAGAACAAUUUGAUUUGUGGAUGUGGGAAAACAGGAAGCACAUGGGCAGUACUUGGGAGGGAAAAAAGCAGCAAGAUGGUAUUGAGGGACAGAAAGAAGGAAGAGAGGCUCCAUCACGCAGAGAAAAAUAUGGAGACAGUGUCUGCAAGCUUACAGGAAAGGGAGAACAUGGACAUUUCUCCCUAUCUACAUUUAUGGUACUUGAAGUCCAGGAGAGGGACCUUGGAGAUCCUAGACCCACUCCCACAUAGCAGAGGUGAAGCAAUCAAGGCCCUGGGAGAGGAGUAUAGGGGUGAGGACAAAACUGUGUCCUGGGAUCAGGUCACACCCUGACACCAACAAAAGGGCUUGAGUUCUCCCCUCAAAUCUAACUCAACUCUUUCCUUUUCCAAGGCCAACCCAUCACAGUUAUUGCCCUCGUCCAUUCAGAGGUGUUCUUUACCAAUUCAGAGGAUUCUGAUGGAGAAGACAAUUUCCAUCUCUCUACUGUCUGUCAGGAGGAGGAGAACAUAAACCUGGAGAAACAAGAGGAAAAUGAAGAGGAAAAAUCCUACAAUCAAAAAUGGGAAUGGUGGUGAGCUGGAGACAUCAGUCUAAGCCUUCAAGUAUCCUGACAUCAUGUGGUUGGUGGUUGACAUCAGAUACCAUCCAAAGGAAACAGCCACCUCAUGCUCAUUCCCUUACAUCCCAUUCCCUAGUCAAACAAUUAAAUAAGAGCUUUGUUUUUUAAUUGUAUAAAUUUAGUGUUAAUUUUUGAAAUAAGUUUUAUAUUCAAUGUUUUAUUUCAGUAUAGUAAACACUAUUAUGCUACUAGUAGUUUUUCUUAAUAUUUUUCCAUGAAAUAAAUACAUAAAUAGGAAAGCACCGUGAACAAAAUUAGAUCUUAAUGAAUGAUUGUAAGGCUGUCCCCUUGUGGCUACAACCAAGGUCUCUCCCUCUCUCAUAAGAACCCUCAUUUCCUCUUUGUUCAAGAAAUGAUUGCAAACUUAGUACUUAGAGUCUGUCCUUAAGCCAGUGUCUUUGUAGACAUUUUCUUUACUGGCAUCUGUUCACUCAUCUGGAAGGGAUAUUGGGAACAAUUUUAAACAAGGUCUAACAGGAUAACUUGGAUGUCAACACCUAUUUUACUUAUAGUAAAAGUCAGUUGCGUUGGGGAUAAAAGUCAUGACCCACAGUUUCUUUACACAAAUAUAUUUAUCCAUUU